rnacentral:rRNA from 1 species
AUCUUGGACAAUGGGGGNAACCCUGAUCCAGCCAUGCCGCGUGAGUGACGAAGGCCUUAGGGUCGUAAAGCUCUUUCACCUGUGAAGAUAAUGACGGUAGCAGUAAAAGAAACCCCGGCUAACUCCGUGCCAGCAGCCGCGGUAAUACGGAGGGGGUUAGCGUUGUUCGGAAUUACUGGGCGUAAAGCGCGCGUAGGCGGACUAUUAAGUCAGGGGUGAAAUCCCGGGGCUCAACCCCGGAACUGCCUUUGAUACUGGUAGUCUAGAGUUCGAGAGAGGUGAGUGGAACUCCGAGUGUAGAGGUGAAAUUCGUAGAUAUUCGGAAGAACACCAGUGGCGAAGGCGGCUCACUGGCUCGAUACUGACGCUGAGGUGCGAAAGUGUGGGGAGCAAACAGGAUUAGAUACCCUGGUAGUCCACACCGUAAACGAUGAAUGCCAGUCGUCAGAGGGCUUGCCCUUUGGUGACACACCUAACGGAUUAAGCAUUCCGGCCUGGGGAGUACGG